rnacentral:rRNA from 1 species
AGCGAACGCUGGCGGCAGGCCUAACACAUGCAAGUCGAACGAACUCUUCGGAGUUAGUGGCGGACGGGUGAGUAACACGUGGGAACGUGCCUUUUGGUUCGGAAUAACUCAGGGAAACUUGUGCUAAUACCGAAUGUGCCCUUCGGGGGAAAGAUUUAUCGCCAUUAGAGCGGCCCGCGUCUGAUUAGCUAGUUGGUGAGGUAACGGCCCACCAAGGCGACGAUCAGUAGCUGGUCUGAGAGGAUGACCAGCCACACUGGGACUGAGACACGGCCCAGACUCCUACGGGAGGCAGCAGUGGGGAAUCUUGCGCAAUGGGCGAAAGCCUGACGCAGCCAUGCCGCGUGAAUGAUGAAGGUCUUAGGAUUGUAAAAUUCUUUCACCGGGGACGAUAAUGACGGUACCCGGAGAAGAAGCCCCGGCUAACUUCGUG